rnacentral:rRNA from 1 species
CAGCCGCCGCGGGAAUACGUAGGUGGCAAGCGUUGUCCGGAAUUAUUGGGCGUAAAGGGCUCGCAGGCGGUUUCUUAAGUCUGAUGUGAAAGCCCCCGGCUCAACCGGGGAGGGUCAUUGGAAACUGGGAAACUUGAGUGCGGAAGAGGAGAGUGGAAUUCCACGUGUAGCGGUGAAAUGCGUAGAGAUGUGGAGGAACACCAGUGGCGAAGGCGACUCUCUGGUCUGUAACUGACGCUGAGGAGCGAAAGCGUGGGGAGCGAACAGGAUUAGAUACCCCUGUAGUCCCUGUCUCUUAUAC